rnacentral:rRNA from 1 species
AACGGACGCUGGCGGCAGGCUUAACACAUGCAAGUCGAACGCUCCGCAAGGGGAGUGGCAGACGGGUGAGUAACGCGUGGGAACAUACCCUUUCCUGCGGAAUAGCUCUGGGAAACUGGAAUUAAUACCGCAUACGCCCUACGGGGGAAAGAUUUAUCGGGGAAGGAUUGGCCCGCGUUGGAUUAGCUAGUUGGUGGGGUAAAGGCCUACCAAGGCGACGAUCCAUAGCUGGUCUGAGAGGAUGAUCAGCCACAUUGGGACUGAGACACGGCCCAAACUCCUACGGGAGGCAGCAGUGGGGAAUAUUGGACAAUGGGCGCAAGCCUGAUCCAGCCAUGCCGCGUGAGUGAUGAAGGCCUUAGGGUUGUAAAGCUCUUUCACCGAUGAAGAUAAUGACGGUAGUCGGAGAAGAAGCCCCGGCUAACUUCGUGCCAGCAGCCGCUGUAAAAC